rfam:Gossypium arboreum cultivar AKA8401 contig_20081_3, whole genome shotgun sequence.
AGUCCUUGAAUCUUUCCCAUGCCUCAUAUAGAGACUCAUCACCCAAUUGUUGGAAAUUAGUUAUCUCAUUAC